GAUGAAGAACGUAGCGAAAUGCGAUAAGUAAUGCGAAUUGCAGAAUUUCCGUGAGUCAUCGAAUCUUUGAACGCACAUUGCGCCCACUGGUAUUCCGGUGGGCAUACCUGUUCGAGCGUCAUUAUCCUCCCUCAAACCCCGGGUUUGGUGUUGGACCCAAGUUGUGUGAACAACUGGUCUCAAAGACAAUGACGGCGUCCGUGGGACCCUCGGUGCAACGAGCUUUUAGGAGCACGCAUCGAGUUGCAAGGACCUUCCGGGCCGGUCUCCUUUACCAUUUUACAAGGUUGACCUCGGAUCAGGUAGGAAUACCCGCUGAACUUAAGCAUAUCAAUAAGCGGAGGA
rnacentral:misc_RNA from 1 species